rnacentral:rRNA from 1 species
ACGGGUGAGUAACGCGUGGGAAUCUACCCAUCUCUGCGGAAUAGCUCUGGGAAACUGGAAUUAAUACCGCAUACGCCCUACGGGGGAAAGAUUUAUCGGGGAUGGAUGAGCCCGCGUUGGAUUAGCUAGUUGGUGGGGUAAAGGCCUACCAAGGCGACGAUCCAUAGCUGGUCUGAGAGGAUGAUCAGCCACAUUGGGACUGAGACACGGCCCAAACUCCUACGGGAGGCAGCAGUGGGGAAUAUUGGACAAUGGGCGCAAGCCUGAUCCAGCCAUGCCGCGUGAGUGAUGAAGGCCUUAGGGUUGUAAAGCUCUUUCACCGGUGAAGAUAAUGACGGUAACCGGAGAAGAAGCCCCGGCUAACUUCGUGCCAGCAGCCGCGGUAAUACGAAGGGGGCUAGCGUUGUUCGGAAUUACUGGGCGUAAAGCGCACGUAGGCGGAUAUUUAAGUCAGGGGUGAAAUCCCGCAGCUCAACUGCGGAACUGCCUUUGAUACUGGGUAUCUUGAGUAUGGAAGAGGUAAGUGGAAUUGCGAGUGUAGAGGUGAAAUUCGUAGA